ACUGCGCACCUACUCUGGGCUUACCCACGGCCGUCAGCCUGGUGGGGACCGAAUCACGUUGUGACACCCCUGCCAGGGGCAGGCCGGUGCCGGGAGGUGCUGCUCAGGGGAGCAGCCACUGCCGGUGGGAUGCAGCAUCCUCCCUGAAAGCCCUACACGCUGACCCCGAGGGGUCUCGGGUGUUUUCUCCAAGGUGCCUCUGUGUCCCCAGGAUGCGCCCCGUGCACCUGCAGUGGGGCAGCCUGCAGGGCCCUGGGAGGCUGGGUGAGGUGGCGACACUCAAGCUCUCUUGGACGGUGAGACUGCAUAAUAAGACACCGACAGUGCUGAACAAGCCCGUACGACUGCAGAGUCCCCAAACUAACUAACACCUCCUCACCAUCGCACAGCAUUUAAUAACUACAGGUCACUGAACAGAACCAAACACCAAAUACUAAAUAACCCGUCUCCAGGCCUUGUGAGUUCAUCAAGUGCUGGGUGGGCCUACCAGGCGGCGGGGCACCCACUGACCAAGAGUCAGCUGGGCACAGACAGACAAGCCACAGUGCCCAAGGUCACACAGCAAGGAGAGCGGAACCUGCCGGCAGCUUGGAAGGCCUGAGUCCGGCAGUGUCACUCCUGGACAGAGGCCAACCGGUUCCCGCCUGCGCUCCUCCCCUCCUCCCAGGUCAGGCUUGCCACGCCUCCCCCUCCAACUCCCCCCAACCCCCCCCCUCCCAAAUCCGAGCCUCUAGUCACAACGGCCCCCAGAGCAGCCAAGGGGGUGGUUAGGGCGGGGGGGGGGGGAGCAAAGAAGGGGCCACCGCCUCACGGCACACCUUCUGUCCCCUCCGGUGGCCCCCAGCUACCCCCAGCGGGGAACUGUUUGGGGAGACACAGGCAGCCCCCACUUUGACGGGCUGAGGUUUCAUGAGCCCGUGGAAAGAAGACCCAGCUAAAAUUAACCGUUAUCAAGCUGUCAGCCUGGAAAUAAACCCUCCUCCUAUUGGCUGCUGGUGAUGUCACUGCUGGGUUAAUAAUAACCUGCGAAUGCAUAACUGACCAGCUGGGCAUGUGCCUUCCUGCGGGGCCAAGGCCAGUGGUCACCCUGGGAGCUGCUGCCCGGGCAGUGACUUGGAGGCAGGAUGGGGGUCAGGGCUGAGCACACCCUCCAGCCUUGGGGUGUCUCAGAAUGACCUCAACUCCUGGCCUUGGGCCACAGGCUCCUGUCUGUCCCCAGGACUUCCGGUGUUCACCCUCAUGUGCAGGGUCAGUCACAUCUCAUCUCCCAGCCUACCUGGGCAGCAGGACCCUGGACGGCCUUGGGGUCAAGGUCCUCCCUCCCCCAGCUCCCCAGGCUGGACAACCAGGGAACUGAGCUGCCCAUGAGUCCGCACAUUAGGUGGUGUCCAUGGAGGAGGAACUGUCGGCUGCUGAACUCCCCUCGGAAAAGCGAGAUCGUGCCCCCAAAUCAGAGAAACUUCACAUACACGGUCUACACGGUAGUUGUUUCUUCUCACUGCCGUACGGGGUUCCGCAUUCAGUGUUGCUCCACGAUAAGGUUGCCGUGUGCCGCUGUGUGUGAACUUGUGCGAGGACGCCACGGGGAUGGGGUUCGGAGCCACAGGUGUGCGCCGUCAUCUGUUCACCACCUCUUGGCUCGAAACUCCCGCCUCAAGACCUGCUCUGUGAUGACGGACAGACUUACCUGAAGCAUUUCUGCUUUACGACCGGAACGAGGGAUUCUCCUCUUGGCCUUGAAGAAGAGAACUACCAAGAUGUGAGAAGGCCUGUAAGGGGCCACAGGUCAAGGAACCCCUAAGAGCUGUGAGUGGCCUCCAGCUGUCCAGCCAAAGAAAGCAGCCAUGUGACCUUAGAAGAGGACCGUGAGCUUCGUAAGGAAACUGAUGGCUUGGUGGCACCCUUCUGAAGCCCUGAGCAGAGGACCCAGUAAGCCGUGCCUGGACCCCUGACCCAGGGAGCUGGGUGUGCACAAUAAACGCAUGUUUUGUAAAGCCA